UCUUGCGAUUGGAAAAAUUCCUCCGCCAGUUUAUUUUUUGAUACUCAGUUUUUAUCAUUCCAUAUUGGUGUAAAAGGUAGUCAAAAUUUGGUUAUGUUUUUACGAUACGGAUGUAAGUGUCCAUAAAACUAAGCACAGCAACUUUAAAAGACAAAAGACAGAUAAUGGAAACCAUCACAGCGGUUAGAAGAAGUCUGACAAUGAAAUCACUUACAGUCGUUGAUAAAAUCACAUACUCCAUAAUAGAACAAGAAAAAGAUUUUAAAAUGAAUUCGAAUGAAAACAAAGAAGAACAAAAUGACAUUUGCAAACUCUUUGAAACGACAGCAAAGUUUGUUAAGUGGAACGAAGAAAGGGACGACGAACUUUGGAAAAAUGCUAAAAUAACUAUUUAUGAUUCUUGCGAUCAUGAAUACGUCAUCAGAAGUGGAAACGGAAAAUCCAAAUUCCUUGUCAACAGCGAGGGAAAUGAUAUCCAUAUUUUACCCUUGGAAACAACAAAGUCGUCCAGCCAACAACAUUUUUGUAGUUUAAUGUAAUAUGGUAAUGGUGUAAAAUCUUGCGGAUGACUCUAUUUCUAGCUGUGUGUUUUAUAACUUCUUUUUUUAACAAUUCCGGAUACCUUCCUUGACAAUUUGAUAAGACCAUGUUCUUUAUAGAAUAGUAUAUUAAUACACUAAUAAAACAGUAA